CACGCCGUAAACGAUGGAUACUAGGUGUGGGAGGUAUUGACCCCUUCCGUGCCGCAGUUAACACAAUAAGUAUCCCACCUGGGGAGUACGGCCGCAAGGUUGAAACUCAAAGGAAUUGAC
rnacentral:rRNA from 1 species